rnacentral:rRNA from 1 species
GGUGAACGCUAGCGGCAGGCCUAAUACAUGCAAGUCGAACGGUGUCUUCGGACAUAGCGGCGCACGGGUGCGUAACACGUAUGCAACCUACCUUACAUUGGGGGAUAGCCUUUCGAAAGGGAGAUUAAUACCGCAUAAGACAGUAGCUGGGCAUCCAGCAGCUGUUAAAGAUUUAUCGAUGUAAGCUGGGCAUGCGUCCAAUUAGCUAGUUGGUGAGGUAACGGCUCACCAAGGCAAUGAUUGGUAGGGGAACUGAGAGGUCAAUCCCCCACACUGGCACUGAGAUACGGGCCAGACUCCUACGGGAGGCAGCAGUAGGGAAUAUUGGGCAAUGGACGCAAGUCUGACCCAGCCAUGCCGCGUGCAGGAUGAAGGCGUUAUGCGUUGUAAACUGCUUUUAUACAGGAAGAAACGACUCUUGCGAGAGGCAUUGACGGUACUGUAUGAAUAAGCACCGGCUAACUCCGUGCCAGCCGCCGCAGUAAGAC